AGUUCAGUUUACUGAUAAAGUCAUUUAUUUUAAGUUAUCUAUUAAAUUAAAAUGGGUAAAUAUCCAAAAAGUGAUGGUGAUGGUUUUUGCAAAGCUUAUGUCAAUGAUUAUGAUUCUUUUUCGUUUUCAAAGAUGAAUCAGAUGGAAGCUGGAUGCUGCUUUGGAUAAAAAUGUAUCACAAUGGUAGAAUAUGGAUUAAAAUUUUGAAUAAAAAGUCAAGAUAAAAUGGUGACCAAGGACAUUAAAAAAAUCCCUGGGUAAAAACUACAUUUACCAUUUUUUUUUAAGUUUAAAAACACAAAAAGGUUAGGUGGGUUAUUUGUUUUAAUUAUACAUUUUGCUUAGAAAUAUUAGAUAUCUUCUUCUUCUUCUCCUGAUCCUUAUGCCUGAUGGAGUCGGAUAAACCUUUUUAAUGUUCCUCCAUCGCCUCUUCCACUCCCUCUGGCUCCUCUCUUUUUCCCAACUUCUGCUAUUCUUUCCUCCCAUUUCUUCCUAGGUCAUAUCCUUAUUCUUUGUUUCAAAUACCUUUUUUAUUGUUGUGUUAUGUUCCAUUCUAAUUAUGUGGGCCUACCAGUUCAGUUCCCUUCUUUCUAUUUUACUACUUAUCUCCUCUUGUUCUAUUCCCAGUCUUAUUUACUCAUUUCUUAUUUAAAAAAAAUUUGUAGAAAUUUCAUUUCCAUUGCUGUGAUGUUUCCUUCUUGUUUAUCUUGGAGUGUCCAUUAUUCAGUAGCAUAUGUUAAUAUUGGAACUGCCACCGCGUUGUACACUUUCAAUUUUAUCUUUUUAUCUAUCUCCUUCUUCCCAAAAAUUGUUUUGUAUUUGUAGUUUUGUGUCCGUAGAACGUGGUUAGCAAAAACAGGGAAUUGUUCUUUUGAGUAUUUUAUUAUUAUCUACUUAACUUUAACACAGUCUUACAUUCACUUAUUCUACUUUUUUAUUUAUUUUUGUACUACUCUUUUUACCGACUUAAAAACUACUUCUUUCUUACUCUAAUUUACCAUUGAUACCAUAGAUGGCGGCACUUAUACAUAAACUUCAACAGUAUUAGAUAUACACUUGGAAAAUUAUUCGUUAUUUCUUUUUCCGCAAUAAUUUCUCAAAAUUAGUUAACAUGUUGACUGCCCAACACGAGAUAACACGUAUUAGCGCUCUUCCUCAGGACGCCCAAUACAAGUUAUCUCGUAUUGCGCUUUUUUGACUUGCCAUGUUCGCGCCACUAUCAGUGAGUUCCUUGUUUAUAAGUGUAAAUAUGAAUGGAUGGUCUCCUGGAAGAAAAUAAACAAUCAAGUUUGGCUUGUAUUGUAUCUUGGAGAGUUGUUAAUAAAUGACACUAAUAGUCGUUAA